UCUUGUUUCCCUGAUGAGUUCCACCUGUGUCUCUGUCCUCUGUCACGUGUCUCCGUCUGCUUUUUGCCUUUCCAUGGAUUUUGUGCACUUUCAUUGCUUGGAUGCAUUUUUUCCUUUUGGACUGUGGGUUCUUUCACCUCCUCGACUUCAUCACCUUCUCAGAGGAAAGGUUCAGGCCCUGUCGAUCUGCUGAUGCUGGUGUUCAGUCGAGAGAAACCUGAACAGCUGCAAAUACAAAAGCACAACGAUCCGGAGAGAUAAACAGGACGAGUUUCCUAUUGAAGCUUUCAGGUGUCACUCAGGCAGAACAAGAAAAUGUUUGCAACACACCAACAUCAAACAGCUAUGUGUGCGUGUGUGUGUGCGAUGACUACUUGAGUGACAGUCGAACAGCUGACCAAUGUUUCUUUACAUUCAUUAUUAAUAUUUAACUGGAACUGAAUGUGUGUGUGUGCGCGCACAUGCUGCACACGCACUUUGAGACAGUCUUUGUGUAUUUUCUACAUGCUGUUGUUACACUAACGUGGAAGGUAUCUUUAUUUCUCUGCACAGCAGCUGACUGCGAUAAUGUCUGAGCAUGCUCAGUUUGUGACCUUUAAGAUGUUAGAAGAGACCGAUAGAGCAGCUGUUGUCAGUGACUUGUUUGUACAAAUAAAACAGAAUAUUGAAUGUAAA